rnacentral:tRNA from 1 species
UCCCAUAUUGUCUAGUGGUUAGGAUACCUGGCUUUACCAGGAGGCCCGGGUUCAAUUCCCGGUAUGGGAA